CGAAACACAGCUUCCUGUACGAUCACCGAAGUUAAGCAACGUCGAGCCUGAUCAGUAUCUAGAUGAGUGACCGCUUGAGAAUACCUGGUGAUGUAA